rnacentral:misc_RNA from 1 species
AGGGCGAUUUUUCUAUAACUGAAGCCAAAUCAUAGUUGGUACCCUUAAUGGAAGGAUACUUGGAAACGAUCAUGUUAAGGAGAGAACCGUCUCCCCCUCCCACGUCCACCAAGGACUUUAGACCUUGAAAACCAUCAUAUAUGUCCAGAAUUCUAUGCAUCAGUAGAGUGUUAAAGUCUCUCAUGGAGCCCUUGAAUUUUUCACCAAAUCUCAUAUCUUUUCCCAUGUACUCCAUAACCCUCAUCCCGUGUGCCUUUUCAAAUGUACCACCUCCUUCAACAACUGCAUCUUUUAAGUGGUACCAAGUAUCCAGGAUGACUUUGUCGUGUAUCGUAGCUAGAAAGGGAGCCAAGCAUCCCCCAUCUUGGUCCUUGAUGAAGUAUUUGGCCACAGGUGCUAAACCAUAUAACCUAUUAAGCUGUCCAUCUUGGGUGCUGAAGGUUACAGAGCAAGUGAGAAUAGAAUUGCUAGCGAGAAGGAGGAGGAUACGGUCUAGCAAAAGGGGGGCCAUCUGGGCUGUUGGGGCAGCAAUCUGGGAGGCAAUUUGCGAAGAGGAAAGCAGGACGCCGGGACCAGCUUUCUCUAUAAUCUCAAACACGCCUAGAUCUGUUGCUGCCUUCAGGGCCAUGGGCAGUACUGAUGCACUGGCAAGUUGCAUGGCAUACUGGCAGUGGUAUUCUUCUUCUUCAACAUUGGUAGCUGUAGAGGUUGCCAUUUGGUUUUCCUUU